UCAAGGCAGUGGAUUGUGAAUCACCCAUGCGCG
rnacentral:tRNA from 2 species